UACGAGAGGCCCAAACGUUAUUCGGAAUUAUUGGGCGUAAAGGGCGCGUAGGCGGCCUGAUAAGUCAAAGGUGAAAUCCCUCGGCUCAACUGAGGAAUUGCCUUUGAAACUGUCAGGCUUGAGGCCGGGAGGGGGUGGCGGAAUUCCCAGUGUAGCGGUGAAAUGCGUAGAUAUUGGGAGGAACACCAGUGGCGAAGGCGGCCACCUGGACCGGUUCUGACGCUGAUGCGCGAAAGCGUGGGGAGCAAACAGG
rnacentral:rRNA from 1 species